rnacentral:lncRNA from 1 species
CGAGUUUGCGGACUUAAAGGAGAAAGACUUUAGAGGUUUGAAUGACUGGGAUUGCUUUGGAUCAUGUACCUAUCUAAGAGUUGAAGUACAUUACAACCUCUAAAACUUGAAGAGAAUAGGUAUGAUGGCCUGGCCUAGGGCACGAAGCUCAUCCAGAUCUUUUUCAGAGUUUUCAGCGAUGCGGGUCUAAUCUGGUCCUAAGGUUCAGAGUAGUCGGAGGCAUACAAGAUCGUUGAGGCUUUCGGGCAUAGUGACCCGGCUUAAGGUGUGAAGUUCAUUCAAAGCUUUCUAAUAAGCAUGGUGGCUUGAUCUGGGGCAUGUGUAGCUCACCCAAGAU